rnacentral:rRNA from 1 species
ACGUAGGGUGCAAGCGUUAAUCGGAAUUACUGGGCGUAAAGCGUGCGCAGGCGGCUAUGCAAGACAGAUGUGAAAUCCCCGGGCUCAACCUGGGAACUGCAUUUGUGACUGCAUGGCUAGAGUACGGUAGAGGGGGAUGGAAUUCCGCGUGUAGCAGUGAAAUGCGUAGAUAUGCGGAGGAACACCGAUGGCGAAGGCAAUCCCCUGGACCUGUACUGACGCUCAUGCACGAAAGCGUGGGGAGCAAACAGGA